rnacentral:rRNA from 1 species
UACGGAGGGGGCUAGCGUUGUUCGGAAUUACUGGGCGUAAAGCGCACGUAGGCGGCUUUGUAAGUUAGGGGUGAAAGCCCGGGGCUCAACUCCGGAAUUGCCUUUAAGACUGCAUCGCUAGAAUUGUGGAGAGGUAAGUGGAAUUCCGAGUGUAGAGGUGAAAUUCGUAGAUAUUCGGAAGAACACCAGUGGCGAAGGCGACUUACUGGACACAUAUUGACGCUGAGGUGCGAAAGCGUGGGGAGCAAACAGG